UUAGGGUAAGUAGAAAUAAUGUAUAACGUUAGGAAUCCCUGAUCAAUGUGAUUGGUUAGGCUGGACCACUGACUUCAAAGUUAAUGCAAAGUCUA